rnacentral:lncRNA from 1 species
CCAGAGCAGCGCUGCCCGGCUGCCGCAUGCACACGCGUGGCCGUCCCUGCCCGGCUGCGCACCGCCAYGUGCACGCAUGCAUCCGUCCCAGCGGUAGCAAGCCCCGCUCGCUCGGUGCUGCUCCCCACCGCGCGGUGCCCCAGCUGCCCACCGCCCGCUCGCUCUGCACACAUGGUUUCAAUCGUGCACUAAAUCAUGUUUGCGUGCACAUGCGGCCGGAGCGCGGGCGCAAAGUGGGUGCCCCCGGAGCGGGCAGGACUUCGAGAGGAAACGGCUUGCACAUUCCCCUUUUCUCCCCCUCUGUUUUGCUUCUCCAGGCGCAGGUUGGGGCUGCGCUGGCGCAUGCCGGGAUGGCUGGGAGCCUCUGCGGGCUGCGGCCAGGCCACCCUCUCCCCAGCAACCUGCAGCCGCAGCAGCCCCAGGCGGCUCCCGGGCGGGCGCAGGGGGCAACCGGAGUGCCGGAGGUGGGACACGGGCGCCUUGCAUGGCCCUGCCGGGGCAGCAACAUGCCCUGUGCAUCUCAGGGCGUGGGGGUGUGCAUGCGUGUGUCUGUGCAUGCGUGUGUCUGUGCAUGUGUGUGCCUGUGUGAGCAUGCCUGCGUGUGCCUGUGCGUGUGUCUGCACAUCUAUGGGCAUGUGCAUGUCUGUGUGUAUGUGCAUGCGUGUGUGUGUGUGUGCGCGCUUCAUGUGUGCCUGUGCAUGUCUGCAUGUGUGCGCCUGUGCAUGUGUGUGUUUGCCUGUGUGCACAUGCAUGCACACCGGUGCAUGUGUGCAUUGGCCUGUGCAUGGCUGCAUGCCUGUGCGUGUGUGCUUGUGCAUGCGUGUGCACAUGUCCCGUGCACGGCCCCAGGUCUGCUGCCACCCCAGGCUCUGCUCGCCCGCCAGGUACCCUCCUCCUGCACGCUCACCCCCCCACGUGCACACCUCCUUGUGCACGCACUGCCCCAUGUGCACACACUCCUUCCCUGGCACACCCACAGGCACGUGGCUGCAGCUGCCAUGCAGGCAUGUGUGCGCAUGCACAUGCACAUGCAUGCACACACGUGCACACGCACCYGCAGGGGCACCCGGCUGGGAAGCCCGGCUGGCGCCCUGCUCCUCCGUCCACCCCAGCCCCAUGCGGGCUGGAUGAGCCCUGCUGCGUCCCCCCUCUUGGUGUGUCCCCGGGGCCGAGCGGUGCCGCGGGGUGCUGGGGACUUGGUGCCACGGCACGGGGCGUUGCACCCCGUGCUGGGCUGCGCUGGCCGGCAUCUCCGGGGUGGCCGGGAGGAGCGCCGCGCGGGGGCUGCUUGCACGGCGCCGUGGCCACGCGGGCGGCCGAGGGCUCCCGGCGCGCUCCUGCGGCGGCGGCAGGAUGUUUGCUUUGGCGCUGGCGCGGGGGGCUGGCUGCCCGCGGGCGGCUGCAGCCGGGGCCGGGCGAUGCCGGCCAGGUCCGGCUUUGAGAGGGAUCCGCAGGGAGCUGAGCUGAUCCCGCGCUCGCUGCAGGCGCCUGGCAGAGCCGUGGGGAGCACCGUGCGGGAACGGGG